rnacentral:rRNA from 1 species
UAAAGCAAGAAAGGGCGUAUGGGGAAUGCCUAGGCACACUCCGGCGAAGAAGGACGCAGCAAACAGCGAAAUGCGACGGUGAGCGGUAAGCACGUGAAGAGCCGUCGAUAUCCGAAUGGGGGAACCCACACGGAGUCAUAUCCGUGUAUCACAUGUCGAAUACAUAGACAUGAUGAGGCGAGACGCAGGGAACUGAAACAUCUAAGUACCUGCAGGAAGAGAAAAUAAGAAUGAUUUUCUGAGUAGCGGCGAGCGAAAGGGAAAGAGCCCAAACCGAUUUUAGGAUCGGGGUAGUAGGAUCAUCGAGGAAUCUGACAGAGGAUCAUAGAGGAAUCACAUGGGAAGGUGAGCGAGAGAGGGUGAGAGCCCCGUACUCGAAAUGAGAGACUGGAGAGAGAUGACACCUGAGUAGGGCGGGACACGAGAAAUCCUGUCUGAAUCAGCCGGGACCAUCCGGCAAGGCUAAAUACGAGAGAGUGACCGAUAGUGAACCAGUACCGUGAGGGAAAGGUGAAAAGAACCCCGGGAGGGGAGUGAAAGAGAACCUGAAACCAUAUGCCUACAAGAAGUCAGAGCCCGUUAAAGGGUGAUGGCGUGCCUUUUGUAGAAUGAACCGGCGAGUUACUGUAUGGAGCGAGGUUAAGCAGGAUAUGCGGAGCCGAAGCGAAAGCGAGUCUUAAGAGGGCGCGAGUUGCAUGCAGUAGACCCGAAACCGGGUGAUCUAGCCAUGACCAGGUUGAAGUUGGGGUAAAACCCGAUGGAGGACCGAACCGACCCCCGUUGAAACGUUGGCGGAUGAGUUGUGGCUAGGGGUGAAAUUCCAAUCGAACCCGGAGAUAGCUGGUUCUCCCCGAAAUAGCUUUAGGGCUAGCGUCGAGAGAAGAGUUGCGUGAAGGUAGAGCACUGAAUAUGUGAUGGCCCCAUCUCGGGGUACUGAGCAUAAUCAAACUGCGAAUGUCACGCCAACAUGCUCGGCAGUCAGACAGCGGGUGAUAAGGUCCGUUGUCAAGAGGGAAACAGCCCAGACCAUCAGCUAAGGUCCCAAAAUGUAUGCUAAGUGGAAAAGGAUGUGGAGAUGUACAGACAACUAGGAGGUUGGCUCAGAAGCAGCCAUCCUUUAAAGAGUGCGUAACAGCUCACUAGUCGAAUGACUCUGCGCCGAUAAUUUACCGGGGCUAAGCAUACUACCGAAGCUAUGGAUCCCAAGGGAUGGUAGGGGAGCGUUCCAUGAACGGAGAAGUACGACCGAAAGGACGUGUGGAGAUCAUGGAAGAGAGAAUGCCGGUGUGAGUAGCGGAACGUGGGUGAGAAUCCCACGCACCGAAAACCCAAGGUUUCCAGAGGAAGGUUCGUCCGCUCUGGGUAAGUCGGGACCUAAGGCGAGGCCGAAAGGCGUAGUCGAUGGACAACAGGUAGAGAUUCCUGUACCCGUAUAUAUGUGAAGGAAUGACGGAGAGAGGAAGCUGCAGCCAGCGGCUGGAAGAGCUGGUGCAAGCGAGAUAUCGGGAUGGCAGGCAAAUCCACCAUCCGAAACGAGAAGGCGUGAAGCGUACGGAAAGCUACGGCGAGUACGGAAGGCAGUGGAGGAACUUCCAAGAAAAGUUUCUAACGUUAAGUAUAUAUGGCCCGUACCGAAAAUGGACACACAUGGGUGAGGAGAGAAUCCUAAGGUGAGCGAGAGAACUAUAGCUAAGGAACUCUGCAAAAUGACUCCGUAACUUAGGGAGAAGGAGUGCUCAUAGAGAUAUGAGCCGCAGUGAAACGGCCCAAGCGACUGUUUACCAAAAACACAGCUCUCUGCUAAGCCGCAAGGCGAAGUAUAGGGGGUGACGCCUGCCCGGUGCUGGAAGGUUAAGGGGAGGGGUUAACGCAAGUGAAGCCCUGAACUGAAGCCCCAGUAAACGGCGGCCGUAACUAUAACGGUCCUAAGGUAGCGAAAUUCCUUGUCAGGUAAGUUCUGACCCGCACGAAUGG